GUCCAAGGUUAGUCCUCUCAAAACCCUCCCUAAUUUCCCAAACUCAUGUCUCUUUUGGUCAGAUCUUUAAACAUUUUAUUUACACGUGUUUUUAUAUUUCGAUUGCGGGCAAAUCUGAAAUGUUUUGUUUGAUUUUAGUUGGUUGUUUGUUUGCGAGCUCGAGAUGUUAGUGCUUUUGGAUUAGCGGAUGGGUAGAAAGCGGAUUGAGAAAAUUUGAGUGUGAAAUGUUGUUUGGUUGCUGAGAAAAUCGAGAGAAAGCUGAGAAAACUCCAAAUUUUUUUUUCACUGAUCGUUGGUUUCAUUUCAAAAGGAAAGUGAAAUACUGAAAUUAAACAGGCCUCGGUCGUCUAUGUUAAUGGGGUAAAGUGGAGGUUUUUGUAGAAGAGGAAAUAAAUCA
rnacentral:misc_RNA from 1 species